rnacentral:tmRNA from 1 species
AGCUGGCAACUAUGCCAUUGCUGCCUAACUAGCAAAAACUAGUUGAGCCGUCGGGCGCGAGGCCCGCCAUCAGGCGUCGCGUUUCCGGCGUCGACAAAUGAUGGAUAGCUUCAACGUUUGGCUUGGCGAUGAAGAAGCGAACUUACUAGCGAAGCUGGUCUAACGCCAGCCUUAGUCUUUCGGCGGUGCGUUAGACGAGAAUAAAUGAAAGAACACGCGCGUAGACGAUUAGUUGUCGAUUUCUUCGGACGGGGGUUCGAUUCCCCCCACCUCCAAUU